rnacentral:rRNA from 1 species
UACGGAGGGAGCUAGCGUUGUUCGGAAUUACUGGGCGUAAAGGGCGCGUAGGCGGUCGUGACAAGUCACUUGUGAAAUCUCCGGGCUUAACUCGGAACGGUCAAGUGAUACUGUCGGACUAGAGUACAGAAGGGGCAACUGGAAUUCUCGGUGUAGCGGUGAAAUGCGUAGAUAUCGAGAGGAACACCUGCGGCGAAGGCGGGUUGCUGGGCUGAUACUGACGCUGAGGAGCGAAAGCAUGGGGAGCGAACAGG